UGUGAUGCUCCUCUCCGAGCAAGUUCGAGUCGGCUUUCAGUACAAUGCUCCNGGUCGCGCGCGGGAUUGGGCUUUACCUUGUUACAAAUUGAUGACUGACGAUAGGACNUCCACAUGCUAGUGCAGCCGCAUGGGCGUUCGGGCUGAGUAGAACGGCGGACGGGUGAGUGAUCGCGUANGAAUCUACCUGGUAGUGGGGGACAACUUGGGGAAACUCAAGCUAAUACCGCAUAUGGCCCUAUGGGGGAAAGUGGGNGNCNUUCCNNCCCUCCCCUCNCUGUUCAANNUGNNUUGUAUUAUCGGACUGCUCAGCCAGCCGCUCGCAAGCGCCGCCGUCGAGCACCUCGCCUCGAGCGAUGGCGUGCCGCGGGUGGCCUUCCACCGCGCCCAAACUCCACAGGGACGCAACCUUCGGACGCAGCGCCCGGAGCGACGGGCCCCCCGCCGGCGGGGUGGGCUGGCCCGGCGCUGCGCGGCGGCCGGCGCGGGGGAGAUCGCUGGCCAGGCGGUUCGCUGGGUGCUGUGGUGGGUCAGCGGCCAGGGUCAGUAGAGCGGAGGCGGGGCUCGGCGGUGUGGAGCUGCGCGCGCUGACCCUGGAGCGGACACGCGGGGGCGUGGAGAGGGCGAGAUGGCUGCAAAGCGAGUGUGUAGGGGUGCGGCCUAGUCCCUCUGAGGAGAGCGGCGGGUUGUCGCGUGGGGUGUUUUGCGCAUUGGCGGGCCACUGAGGUGGCGCGUCUGUGGGUGCGGGCUCGUCGGGUACGUCGGUCGUGUUCUGAUCGUAGGACGCGCCAGCGCGGUUCUGGGCUGUGGCUGGACCGCGUGGGCACCGAGUGGACGGCCAAUGCGUGCGCCGGUCCGGGUCGCGGGCGUGCCGGCGCCGUGGCCGAGUCGCGGCGCGAGUGGAGGCGGGA
rnacentral:rRNA from 2 species